AAACUUCACACUGCAGGAAACUGUGAUGAGGGAACUCCAAGUGACUGCACAUUGUGUAGCCUUUUCUUUACUAUUAAUCGGUAUUGGAAUAAGGGCUGGGAAAGACCGGUG
rnacentral:rRNA from 1 species